UCUGGGAAAUGAAUCCCUCCACUGUCUAAUUUCCUAAUAAAAAUUCAAUGACUGCUCAAAACCGUGAGAUGCAAAGGAAUAUUUUAUACCGACUUUGAGCAAAAGCAACUGCAGAAAAUGAAAUGGAAUUUAUGAAAAUAAUAAACCAAGAAAAGGAAAAUAAGAACUCUGAUUUCCUAUGCUUAUUGGAUUAUGACCUUAUGGCUAAGGUGUCCUCUCACAGGGCAAGAAUGAUACCAGAUAAACACAAUGGGACUCAAACUUUGAUAUUUCCCACUGGAAAAAAAUGCUAGAAACGUUUGUGUUUAAUUAUACAUGAGAGUCAUUUCAAAGAAAACAAAUACAGAUGUUAGAUAUUAUCUUUCACGUUUUUGCAUGCUUUAUAGCCAAUCUUUAAAAUCAGUUAGGAGCAAACUUAUUGGAAAACACUAGUUUUUUAUUAACAAAAAUAAGAAGCUUUAAUUACAUUGAAAAAAUAAAUAUGUUUUGUUACUAAGAGUGGAGCAAAGGAAUGGAAGAAACAGCAAAUGACCACUGGUGGUCGACAAAAGUAAGUACUGAUAUACAGUGAGAUGUCCUGAAUCUAUCAUAGUGCAAAUAAUUAGGCAACCACAACAACACUUCUCAAGGACCAAAUAGCAGACUGAUUACAGAGAAUAACAGAAAUUUUCUAUUUUAUGACAAAUAAUUUCAAAAUUGAUGCUAGAAUGCCCAAACAUGCAAAAUUUGUUAAAAAUAAUAAAAUAGUAUUAGUAGUUGAGCUGCAUAUGUUAUAUAACUGAUGUGCCUCUCUGCUUUGUUUCAGGUUUAAUAACAAAUGCUGGCCAGAGAACAUGGCAUAGCAAAACUGCCUAUAUCACAGGCCAAGAAGCAAAGAGACGACAGAACAGAGUGGAUUCCUGUGUUCCCCUCAAAGUACGCCUCUCAAUGGACUUAGGAAUUCUCACUUCAUAAAAAAGUAUAGAGGAAAGUGGUAAUUAAGGAACACGAAAUAUCUACAAAAGUCUGCUCCUAUACUGGUUAAAAAACUUAAACAGUUGUUUACCUCACAACUGUUGUAGAACAUUCUGAGAAUCCAUCACUUACUGUCACAGGCCCUCCAUCCUUAAAAAUAGACUCGGAGAUUUAGGAACAGAAAGUAUGUGCAGGCAUGCUCAAGAUAAAUGCCUAGGAGGUGAAGAAACAGAAAUGGAAUAUGGGGACAUUAAAAGUUAAGAUCCCUCUGGCUAACCCUGGAACGUGAAGCUUCUUCACAGUUGUUCUAUACUGUGGCCUUGGGACAGGCCUUUGUAUGUCUCUGUUCACCAAUUGCUGACUUGAGCAACCCGGAAAAAAAGAGCAUGAUUUUAUGAGUGACCUCUCCAACUAAGAGCAAGGCCUGGGAAGGAGCUCAGUCGAAACCUUUGCUGCCAAGAUACUUAAGAGCCUGGGAAGACAAAACCCCAGUCCCUGGAAGUCAAACAAUCUGGAAAGUAAACAACAGUCCCUACUGUUCUCACUGUCUUUAGAGACACCCUUAAGAGUUGCUGUUCGUGCCUAACUAUAGUUGGUGGAAGAAUCAGAUCAGCCAGCAAAUCAGAUUCACUCUUGUCCUUUCUCCAAGAUUGCAAAGCAAUGAAGGAGGUCCAGAUGAGUAAAUGGGUUUGGAAAAGAUGACCAGAAAUAAUAUAUAUUGCCUCUAAAAUCUGAAACAGCAAGGGUUUCUCUGUGCCACAACAGUCCUGGUUGUCCUCCUUGUUUAGAGUUCACACUAAUGAUGGCUGCCCACCUGGUCUUCUUUCUGAGAGCAGAGCAAGAAGGGAAAGUGAGAGUCAGCAAAAGGAAUGCUGAGAUAACCUGCUGUGACAAGCAAAGCAAAUGGGAAGCGUGUUGGACAAAAAUAGACUCUACAACCUUGUGG